ensembl:snoRNA
UUACUGUGUGGAUUGUGGGGGAUUAUAACCACUAGCCCGCUGAAAGAAAAGCCAUGUUGGUUGUUUCUGAUUUUUGCUUUUGGGGUAAAAAUCAUGACACCUUGACAUGAACAGUU